UAGUAACGGCGAGUGAAGCGGGAAGAGCUCAAAUUUGAAAUCUGGUAGCCUUCGGUUGCCCGAGUUGUAAUCUAGAGAAAUGUUUUCCGUGCCGGCCCAUGUACAAGUCCCUUGGAACAGGGCGUCAUAGAGGGUGAGAAUCCCGUCCUUGACAUGGACCCCCGGUGCUUUGUGAUACAUUUUCAACGAGUCGAGUUGUUUGGGAAUGC
rnacentral:rRNA from 14 species